rnacentral:lncRNA from 1 species
GUUAUAUUCUUCUUAAAAUGAUAUUUUCUUCAAUAUCAUUAUACCGAAAUGUUGGUAUGAACUUUUUAUCAAAUUUGGAACUUUUUGUGUCGGGAUUACUAUUCACGUAUACGGUACUAUUCACGUAUACGGUACUAUUCACCGAAAAAUGAAAUUUUCUUCUUUUUGUCUAAGAUGUCUAUUAUGGUUACUAUCUUUGAUUGUAUCCAUGUUUUGA